GGCAGCAGUGGGGAAUAUUGGACAAUGGGCGGAAGCCUGAUCCAGCAACGCCGCGUGAGGGAUGACGGCCUUCGGGUUGUAAACCUCUUUCAGUACCGACGAAGCGAAAGUGACGGUAGGUACAGAAGAAGCACCGGCCAACUACGUGCCAGCAGCCGCGGUAAUACGUAGGGUGCGAGCGUUGUCCGGAAUUAUUGGGCGUAAAGGGCUCGUAGGCGGUUUGUCGCGUCGGGAGUGAAAACACUGGGCUUAACUCAGUGCUUGCUUCCGAUACGGGCAGACUAGAGGCAUGCAGGGGAGAACGGAAUUCCUGGUGUAGCGGUGAAAUGCGCAGAUAUCAGGAGGAACACCGGUGGCGAAGGCGGUUCUCUGGGCAUGUCCUGACGCUGAGGAGCGAAAGUGUGGGGAGCGAACAGGAUUAGAUACCCUGGUAGUCCACACCGUAAACGUUGGGCGCUAGGUGUGGGGCCUAUUCCAUGGGUUCCGUGCCGCAGCUAACGCAUUAAGCGCCCCGCCUGGGGAGUACGGCCGCAAGGCUAAAACUC
rnacentral:rRNA from 1 species